rnacentral:rRNA from 1 species
AUUGAACGCUGGCGGCAGGCUUAACACAUGCAAGUCGAGCGGGGGAAGGUAGCUUGCUACCGGACCUAGCGGCGGACGGGUGAGUAAUGCUUAGGAAUCUGCCUAUUAGUGGGGGACAACAUCUCGAAAGGGAUGCUAAUACCGCAUACGUCCUACGGGAGAAAGCAGGGGAUCUUCGGACCUUGCGCUAAUAGAUGAGCCUAAGUCGGAUUAGCUAGUUGGUGGGGUAAAGGCCUACCAAGGCGACGAUCUGUAGCGGGUCUGAGAGGAUGAUCCGCCACACUGGGACUGAGACACGGCCCAGACUCCUACGGGAGGCAGCAGUGGGGAAUAUUGGACAAUGGGGGGAACCCUGAUCUAGCCAUGCCGCGUGUGUGAAGAAGGCCUUAUGGUUGUAAAGCACUUUAAGCGAGGAGGAGGCUACUCUAGUUAAUACCUAGGGAUAGUGGACGUUACUCGCAGAAUAAGCACCAGCUAACUCUGUGCCAGCCGCCGCCGUAA